AUUUAUUAGAUAAAAACCAAUGCAUGCUUUUAUAGUAUGAAUGUUGGUGAUUUACAAUAACUUAGCAAAUCGCAUAGUGUAAACAGGCGAUAAAUCAUUCAAGUUUCUGACCUAUCAGCUUUCGACGGUAUGGUAUUGGCUUACCGUGGCAGUGACGGUUAACGGGGGAUUAGGGUUCGAUUCCGGAGAGGGAGCCUGAGAAACGGCUACCACAUCUAAGGAAGGCAGCAGGCGCGCAAAUUACCCAAUUCUAACAGCAUAAGAGAGGUAGUGACAAGAAAUAACAGUACAAGGCAGUUAAAAUGCUUUGUAAUUGGAAUGAUAGAAAUUUAAACACUUUUUAGAGUAUCAAUUGGAGGGCAAGUCUGGUGCCAGCAGCCGCGGUAAUUCCAGCUCCAAUAGCGUAUAUUAAAAUUGUUGCAGUUAAAAAGCUCGUAGUUGAAUUUCUGUUAAAAAUAACCGGUCUGCUUUUAAUAAAAGUAGUAUCUUGGUGUGUUUUUAGCAAUAAUGUCCUUUGAAAUGUUUUUUACUUUAUUGUAAUAAAUUAUAUUCAGGAUUUUUACUUUGAGAAAAUUAGAGUGUUUCUAGCAGGCUAAUGCUUUGAAUA
rnacentral:rRNA from 1 species